rnacentral:RNase_P_RNA from 1 species
UAAAUCGAUUUGAUAAUCGCUUUUUAAUAAGAGGAAAGUCCGAACUCCGCAGGGGAAAAUACCUCCUAAUAAGAGGACCUUACUAAAGUAGGGAUGGAAAGUGCAACAGAGAGUAGACCGCCUUUAUAAAUAAAGGUAAGGGUGAAACGAAAAGGUAAGAUCUUUUCAGUAGCAAUUGAAAGAUUGUUAGUUAUGUAAACCCUAUUUGGAGCAAGAUUAAGUAACCAAGUGUGCCCCGCAUGUUAAAAUGGUUGGUAAAUCGCUUGAGUUAAGCUGUGAAGCUUAAUCUAGAUAAAUGAUUAUCUGAAAAACAGAAUUCGGCUUAUAAAUCGAUUUAAAAA